rnacentral:rRNA from 1 species
GAUGAACGCUGGCGGCGUGCCUAAUACAUGCAAGUCGAGCGAACAGACGAGAAGCUGGUUCCCUUGACGUUAGCGGCGGGCGGGUGAGUAACACAUGGAUCACCUACGUAUAAGACGGGGAUAACUUCGGAAAGCCAGAUAUAAUACCAGAUUAUAUAUUGAACCGCAUCAAUCAAUAGUGAAAGGCGGUUUUGCCGUUACUUAAAGAUGCUGCCGUGUCGCAUCAGCUAGUUGGUAAGGUAACGGCUCACAAAGGCAACGAUUCGUAGCCGACCUGAGGGGGUGAUCGCCCAAACUGGACCUGAGAACCGGUCCAGACUCUUACGGGAGGAAGAGGUGGGGAAUCUUCGGCAUUGGGCGAAGGCCUGCCGGAGCAACGCGGGGUGGGUGAUGAAGGUCUUCGGAUCGUAAACCCCUUUUAUUGGGGAAGAACAAUUGUGUAAGUAACUAUGCACGUUGUGACGGUACCUAACCAGAAAGCCACGGCUAACUACGUG